GAAGAUAUAGCUCCGUAGUAGAGCACAUGCUUAGCAUGCACAAGGUCCUGGGUUCAGUCCCCAGUACCUCUA
rnacentral:tRNA from 1 species